GCUGGGCAUGGUGGUGCAUGCUUGUAAUCCCAGUGGCUCAGGAGGCUGUGACAAGAGGAUCGUGAGUCCAAAGUCAGCCUCAGCAACAGCAAAGCUCUACGCAACUCUGUGAGACCUUAUCUCUA
rnacentral:sRNA from 1 species